rnacentral:lncRNA from 1 species
AUCUUGAAUAUAUAGAUAGAGAUAAACUGUAAACAGCAAUAAUGUACAGCAAAGUAAGACCUACAAAUAAGUCAACAUGAUCAAAAUGGUCAAUUGACCCCUUAAGGAGUUAUUGCGCUUUAUAGUCAAUUUUUAACAAUUUUCAUAAAUUUUGUAAAUUUUUGUAAAUUUUUACAAAAUAUUUUCCACUGUAACUACUGGGCCAAGUUCAUUAUAGAUAGAGAUAAUUGUAAGCAGC